UGGGGUAUAGCCAAGCGGUAAGGCAAUCGGUUUUGAUCCGAUCAUCCCAGGUUCGAUCCCUGGUACCCCAGCCA
rnacentral:tRNA from 3 species